rnacentral:rRNA from 1 species
CAGAGGGUGCAAACGUUGUUCGGAUUUACUGGGCGUAAAGCGCGUGUAGGCGGCCUUGCAAGUCGGAUGUGAAAGCCCACGGCUCAACCGUGGAAGUGCAUCCGAAACUGCAUAGCUUGAGUCUCGGAGAGGAAGGUGGAAUGCUUGGUGUAGAGGUGAAAUUCGUAGAUAUCAAGCAGAACACCUGCGGCGAAGGCGGCCUUCUGGACGAUGACUGACGCUGAGACGCGAAAGCGUGGGGAGCAAACAGG